UACAGAGGUCUCAAGCGUUGUUCGGAUUCAUUGGGCGUAAAGGGUGUGUAGGUGGCGCCGUAAGUCGGGUGUGAAAUUUCGGAGCUUAACUCCGAAACUGCAUUCGAUACUGCGGUGCUUUGAGGACUGGAGAGGAGACUGGAAUUCAUGGUGUAGCAGUGAAAAUGCGUAGAGAUCAUGAGGAAGACCAGUGGCGAAAGGC
rnacentral:rRNA from 1 species